rnacentral:rRNA from 1 species
GACGGAGGAUGCAAGGGUUAUCCGGAAUCACUGGGCGUAAAGCGUCUGUAGGUGGUUUAAUAAGUCAACUGUUAAAUCUUGAGGCUCAACCUCAAAAUCGCAGUCGAAACUAUUAGGCUAGAGUAUAGUAGGGGUAAAGGGAAUUUCCAGUGGAGCGGUGAAAUGCGUAGUGAUUGGAAAGAACACCGAUGGCGAAGGCACUUUACUGGGCUAUUACUAACACUCAGAGACGAAAGCUAGGGUAGCAAAUGGG